rnacentral:rRNA from 1 species
GAGCGAGGGCUCUUCUCCCGCAAGGGAGGGGAGUUCCUAGCGGCGAACGGGUGAGUAACACGUGGGCAACCUUUCCUAUCGCGGGGGAUAACAGCGGGAAACCGCUGCUAAUACCGCAUGUCGUCAUCGGUCGCAUGGCCGGUGAAGAAAGCAGCAAUGCACGAUGGGGUGGGCCCGCGGCCUAUCAGCUAGUCGGUGGGGUAACGGCCUACCGAGGCGAUGACGGGUAGCUGGUCUGAGAGGACGACCAGCCACACGGGGACUGAGACACGGCCCCGACUCCUACGGGAGGCAGCAGUGAGGAAUCUUCCGCAAUGGGCGAAAGCCUGACGGAGCGACGCCGCGUGUGGGAUGAAGUCUCUACGGGAUGUAAACCACUGUCGGAGGGGAAGAGAACGGACGGAUCCUACAAGAAAGCCCCGGCCAUCUAGGUGCCCGCAGCACGCGG